rnacentral:misc_RNA from 1 species
AACGCACAUUGCGCCUCUCUUUACCGGGAGGCAUGCCUGUCUGAGCGUCAUUUAAACCGUAGCCCCAAAAGGGUCUGUCUUGGGCUUCGCCGGUCGGCGUCGCCUCGAAGCGAUCGGUCUAAAGAGCGGACGAGAUCCACUGGGACUUAUCGCUUGGAGACCUUAAACCUCAGACUUGACCUCAGAUCAGGUAGGGCUACCGCCUGAACUUAA